rnacentral:pre_miRNA from 1 species
AGGCAAGAUGGAGGCAUAGCUGCAUUUUGUUAGAUAGUAGCUGUUUCUCCUCGAGCCAUC